UUGUAGGCUGAAACUCGCCUAUAUGAAGUCGGAAUUGCUAGUAAUCGCGGAUCAGCAUGCCGCGGUGAAUACGUUCCCGGGCCUUGUACACACCGCCCGUCACACCAUGAGAGUCGAUAACACCCGAAGCCUGUAGUCUAACAGCAAUGAGGACGCAGUCGAAGGUGGGAUUGAUAACUAGGGUGAAGUCGUAACAAGGUACC
rnacentral:rRNA from 1 species